rnacentral:rRNA from 1 species
UACAGAGGAUGCAAGCGUUAUCCGGAAUGAUUGGGCGUAAAGCGUCUGUAGGUGGCUUUUUAAGUCCGCCGUCAAAUCCCAGGGCUCAACUCUGGACAGGCGGUGGAAACUACCAAGCUGGAGUACGGUAGGGGCAGAGGGAAUUUCCGGUGGAGCGGUGAAAUGCGUAGAGAUCGGAAAGAACACCCGUGGCGAAGGCGGCUCUCUGGGACGGUACUGACGCUGAGACGCGAAAGCGUGGGGAGCGAACAGG